UUUUGACUGCUGUGUAUGUUUAAUUCGUUUUGCCGAAUAAAAUGCAACUGCCGAAGCAAGUUGUAGUAAGCCUCCCUCUCCGGAACGUUAUUGGUUGCUAUGGUUUCUGGGGGUUCCGAUAGGAAAACUCCAUAGACAUAUACACGGGAAAACUCUCGGCGGCGCCAUAAUAAUGGCUAAACAACUUUCUUUAAUGUGCUAUUUGGAAAAAGCGAGAGUUGAGGAAGAAGACACGCCACUGCCUUCAUCUAUCGAGUCCACCCAGCCAGUUCUUCAGACUCAUUAACCCACAAGAAGACUAGUCAGGCCCACUCACAUUUUCACUGGCCCACCCAAAAUACAAUUUCUGCUACUACGCCACUGCAUUGGACAUCUUGGAUAACAUGGGUCCCCAGGCUCCAACCUGCCACUGUGACCACAGAAGUCUUCAUGGGCUGUUACUCCACUCAACAAGUAUGUUACCUGUGAAACACAUU